GACAGAGGGUGCAAACGUUGUUCGGAAUUACUGGGCGUAAAGCGCGUGUAGGCGGCUUGGCAAGUCGGGUGUGAAAGCCCUGGGCUCAACCUAGGAAGUGCACUCGAAACUGCUUCGCUUGAGUGCCGGAGAGGAAAGCGGAAUUCUCGGUGUAGAGGUGAAAUUCGUAGAUAUCGAGAGGAACAUCGGUGGCGAAGGCGGCUUUCUGGACGGUAACUGACGCUGAGACGCGAAAGCGUGGGGAGCAAACAGG
rnacentral:rRNA from 1 species